UUUAUAAAUAGUUUUGGUGACAUACCCCAGCUGAUAUCUAGGCAGUGGAUUUCCUUAUAUACUUUGCGACACCCAAGAUAAUGGCGAAUUAUCCUAUCAACGUAUAUACAAAUGUCUUCAGAGACGAUGUUGUAAAACUACAUCAACAGAUAGACGAUUUAGGAAAAGCUGGUCAGUGGUCUGAUCUUAUAGAAUUGUUGGAAAGUAGUGGCGACCUCGUGAAUUCAAGCAGACUUCCAGUGAAGGGAGAUAAUAAAGGUCCUACCUGGUUUACGCCUCUUCAUUACGCUUCUGACUUGGGUGCACCGGAGAACAUAUUUAAAGAUUUAAUACGAAUGGGGGCAUCGAAAUGUAUGAAGAAUGCUGAAGGUCAAACCGCUUAUGACAUUGCAAAAAGUAAAGGUCUUGAUAAGGUUAUAUUGGACCAAUUAAUGAUUCCAGAGAAAAUAAAACAAAAUGCCGCUGCAAUUGAGAAAAUGGAAAAAGGCUUACACGAAGUCAUCAAUGGUAGAGUUAAAGACUUGAUCAAGGGAAAUGGACAAGCUUUACCUCAAAUUUCUCUGUUAUUUGAACAUGGAAGUUUUUAUUAUCCUGUGCCUGGAAUGUAUGGCGGUUUUAAUAUUUGCGAACACGAAGAUGGCAUUCAAGCAGAUAGCUGGAUUCGUGUUUGUGGCGGAAGUGAGGAAAACCACGUGGUCAAUAUGGAAGGCAAAAUUACUUUAUUGCCAAAUGACAAUCCUAAUUAAUUACAUAGAAAUAAAAUUACCUCUAUAAUAGUAGUAGUCUAUAAAACAUGUUUAAUCCUCGUGCAAAUCAAAAUUGCGUACAAUGGGAGGCAACUCUCAUUGUACCUAAUUGAUAACGCCUUGUACGAAAUUGCCUCCCUUUGAUACUUUAUCCGGGUUUUAAUUACCAUGUGUGGUUUUAAGCAAAAGAGCAUGUUCCAGCCACUUUUCAUUAUGUAAUUGAUAUAAUUUUUUUUUUCUCUCUCCGUCUUUUUAUUGUAAAUUUUUCUAAUUACUUUUAUUAUACGACCGCAAAAAUUUUGCGGUCGUAUAUUGGUAUGACGUUGGCGUCGUCGUCGUCGUUGUCGUCGUCGUCGUCGUCGUCGUCGUCGUCGUCCGAAGACACAUUAGUUUUUGCACUAUAACUUUAGUUUAAGUGAAUGGAUCUCUAUGAAAUUUUACCAUAAGGUUCAAUACCACAAAAGGAAGGUUGGGAUUGAUUUUGGGGGUUAUGGUACCAACAGUUAAGGAAUUAGGGGCCAAAAAGGGGCCAAAAAUAAGCAUUUUUGUAACUUCCAGUCAAUAACUUGUGUGUAAGUGUAUGGAUCUCUCUGACAUUGUACCACAAGGUUCCAUAUCACAAAUAAAAGGCUGGAAUUGAUUUUGGGGGUAAUUGCCUCAAAAUUUUAGGAAUUAGGGGCAAAAAACAAGCAUUUUUCUAGUUUCAUGACAAUAACUUGUGUGUAAGUGUUUGGAUAUUUCUGAAAUUGUACUACAAGGUUCCAUAUCACAAAGGGAAAGCUGGAAUUGAGUUUGGGGGUAAUUGCCCGAAACUUUUAGGAAUUGGGGGCCAAAAAGGGGCCAAAAAUAAGCAUUUUUGUAGUUUCCAGAUAAUAACUUGUAUUCAAGUGUAUGGAUCUCUCUGAAAUUGUACUGCAAGGUACCAUACCACAAAGGGAAGGCUGGGAUUGAUGAUGGGGGUAAUUGCCUCAAUAUUUUAGGAAUUAGGGGCCAAAAAGGGGAAAAAACAAGCAUUUUUCUAGUUUCAGGACAAUAACUUGUGUGUAAGUGUAUGGAUCUUUCUGAAAUUGUACUACAAGGUUCCAUAUCACAAAGGGAAAGCUGGGUUUGAGUUUGGGGGUAAUUGCCCUAAACGUUUAGGAAUUUGGGGCCAAAAAACACAUGUUUCUAGUUUCCAGACAAUAACUUGUGUUCAAGUGUAUGGAUCUCUCUGAAAUUGUACUGCAAGGUACCAUACCACAAAGGGAAGGCUGGGAUUGAGUUUGGGGGUGAUGAAUCAUAAGGGGGUUCAAAAAUUUUGGGGGGGGAUUUUUUUUUUUUCAUUUUUUUUCUUUUUUUCCUUUUUUUUUUCUUUUAAAAUUUUCCAUUUUAAGUUGGUUAUUUCUGAUUUAUAUUUAAAAGCAAAUAAUAAUGAUAUGAUAGGAGAUACACACCAAACAGGAUGUGUAAAUUAUUAUAUAAUUACUAAGUAUUGUGCAAUAGCAAGAAAUUUUCAAUUGCACAGUAUUGCACAAUAGCAAGAAAUCUUCAAUUGCACAGUAUUGCGCAAUAGCAAGAAAUCUUCAAUUGCACAGUAUUGCGCAAUAGCAAGAAAUAUCCAAUAGCACAAUAUUGCGCAAUAGCAAGAAAUUGUCAAUUGUACAGUAUUGCGCAAUAGCAAGAAAUAUUCAAUUGCACAGUAUUGUGCAAAAGAAGAUACUUCAUAUAAAUUGCUUAUUUCUUGACCAAUUUCAAUGGGGUUUUAUUCUUGAAUUCUUGGGGUUCUUUAAUAUGCUGAUUCUAACCGUGUAUUAAGUUUUUGGAUUUUGGGCCCCGUUUUUAAAUUGGUCCACAUUGAGGUCCAAAGGGUCCAAAAUUAAACUUUGUUUGAUUUCAUCAAAAAUUGAAUUAUUGGGGUUCUUUGAUAUGCCGAAUCUAACCGUGUAUUUAGAUUCUUAAUUUUUGGUUCCGUUUUCAAAUGGGUCUACAUUAAGGUCCAAAGGGUCCAAAAUUAAACUUAGUUUGAUUUUAACAAAAAUUGAAUUCUUAGGGUUCUUUGAUAUGCUGAAUCUAAACAUGUAUUUAGAUUUCUGAUUAUGGGCCCAGUUUUCAAGUUGGUCCAAAUCGGGGUCCAAAAUUAAACUUUAUUUGAUUUCAACAAAAAUUGAAUAUAUGGGGUUCUUUGAUAUGCUGAAUCUAACCAUGUAUUUAGAUUUUUGAUUUUUGGGCCCCGUUAUCAACUUUGUCUACAUUGAGGUCAAAAGGGUCCAAAAUUAAACUUUGUUUGAUUUCAUCAAAAAUUGAAUUCUUGGGGUUCUUUGAUAUGCUGAAUCUAACCAUGUAUUUAGAUUUUGGAUAUUGGACCAUAAUAGGUGAAUGUCCAAUUUAAAUUUUUUAAGUUCUUAGACCACAUUCAUUCUGUGUCAGAAACCUAUGUUGUGUCAAAUAUUUAAUCACAAUCCAAAUUCAGAGCUGUAUCAAGCUUGAAUGUUGUGUCCAUACUUGCCCCAACUGUUCAGGGUUCGACCUCUGCGGUCGUAUCAAGCUGCGCCCUGCGGAGCAUUUUAUUAUUACCCACAUUGGGGUUCAGGUGCUUCAUAUUGACACUUUGUUCAUUGUAGCUUAUUGAUACCAUGCUUGGUAUAACUAUAUUUGAAUGCAUUAUUAUAAUAAAGCACCUUUCGCCAAA